AUGCCCUGGUCCCUCCUUGUCCUUCUGCUGAGCACUUUCCUCGGAGUCAGCGCGCAGACCGUGCACCAGUGGCCGGUGGUUGUGGUGCGGCGUGUGGGCAGCCCCCUGACCCUGCGAUGCACUGUGACCGGGACCUCGAACCCCAAUCUGUACUGGUACCGGCGGGCCACGGAUGGGCCCCUCCAGCUGCUCUUCGUCUCCAUUAGCGUGGACGACCUUCAGGCCGAGGGCCCGGGGCACCUCUCGGCUUCCCGUCCCAGGGACGGCGAGUUGACUCUGAGUGCCGAGUCCCUGCAGCCAGGGGACUCGGGAACAUAUCUCUGCGCCUGGGGCGCACACUGCGUGGGUCCUGCCAGUCGCCUUGCAAAAACCCAGCUCUGGGCACACACGGCCCCGCGGAGGGCUGCUCUGUGA